GUGAAGUAUUGAUCUGUGCGGCUGUGGACGUAGGAGCAAGGGACUCCGAACCACAUAAACUUGGGUGUCUUGUGCGUUUGUUAUUGUUUCUUGCCGUGUCCUUUUUUUUCUCCUACUAUUUCUUAUAUUCCGCAAUCGUAGGGUUGAAUCCCUAACAUCAAGUCAAUGGACAUCGUUUAAAACCAUACCUUGAGUAUCUGAGUCCAGAAGUUGAGGAGACACUUCCGACCGACCCUGUCUAUCAUGAAUGAAUUAGAAUUGUCUGGCUGAAGACAUAAAACUUAGCGCUCUUGGGAGGCAACCCAACAUAUAAAUAUCUUCUAUAAAAAAAAAUUACUAACAUGCAGGUUUGGGGGAUUUUUCCCUAAUUUUCAAUUUACCUAUCCAUAUCAGGUAACUUCUCCUCUGUCCUCUUACUGCUUUAAUUUUUCUUUAACAUUGAGGACAAUGUUAGAUUUAGGUUUGGGGGUAUUUUUAAGCAUUUGAAAUUUUAUAAAAAUAAAUAAAAUAUAUAUAUAUAUAUAUUUUUAGUUAAAAUUUUUGGAAUUUAAAAAAAAAAAUACAACACACAAGGUAUAUAAAAUCUAAGAGCUCAAUGACUAGUUGGAAGUAGUGCAAAGUGAGUUCUUUUUAUUAAGUUCCUUUUAGUGAGUUGUAAGUUAAUUAGUGCUUUGAAUUUCACAACACAUCUGCCUGCAUUUUCUAAGGUAUAGGUUCGACAUUGUGUUGAGAAUAUGGUAGCAACCUCGAAUCCUGAUGAACCAUCCUUUUCUAAUCCAAAAAAAAAAAACUAUUUGGUGGAUUUAGUCAGGUACAUCGAAAAGGGCUACCUAUUGUCAAAGGUCAGUGGGCUUGUGAUGAGGAACCCGAGCAUAGGUCCGUAGGGG
rnacentral:lncRNA from 1 species